UAACAAUGAUUCCCCUAGUAACGGCGAGUGAAGAGGGAAGAGCUCAAAGUUGGAACCUGUUCGCCUUUGGUGAAUCGGAUUGUAAACUAAAGAGUUGUCGUCCAGGCUAGCUAGAUCUAUAAGUCCCUUGGAAUAGGGCACCUUGGAGGGUGAGAGUCCCGUCCUGGAUCUAAGCAUCAGUCUUUUGUGUCGACUUCUCGACGAGUCAGGUUGUUUGGGAAUGCAGCCUAAAGUGGGUGGUAAAUCCCAUCUAAAGCUAAAUAUUGGCGAGAGACCGAUAGCGAACAAGUACCGUGAGGGAAAGAUGAAAAGAACUUUGAAAAGAGAGUUAAACAGUAUGUGAAAUUGCUAAGAGGGAAGCGUUUGGAGUCAGACUUGGCUUUGUCCGAAUCCGCCUAUCCCUUUGGGGGUGGGUUUAUUUUGGGCUUUGGCCUGCCAACAGCAGUUUCUUUUGAGUGGAAAAAACUCUAGGGAAGGUAGUUCCUUUUGGAAUGUUUAUAGACCUAGAGAAAAUACACUUGGAGAGACUGAGGAAUGCAAUGGAUGCCUUUUAGGCUUGACAUUAGGGACUCUGUCUGAAGGCGCGGCUAGUUUUCAGCUUGCUGAUGCUGGUUGUUUGCUUGAGGGCAAGGUCUUUGGUGAUCUUUAAUCCAUUCAGGUUGUUGGCUUAAUGACUCUAAACGAC
rnacentral:rRNA from 1 species